rnacentral:tRNA from 1 species
CGUGCGGUAGCUCAGUGGUAGAGCUCUCGCUUCGUACGUGGGAAGACCUGGGUUCGAUUCCCGGUUGCUUAC